GAGAUGUGCACCCCACAUCUCUUUGCUCGAGUCCUGGUCCGCAAGAUGGGUGCUUGUUCGUGUGCCCCACCCCACCCCCACGCCCGAGGCCGGGUGCGGCAACUCCGCCCUGCAUUAAAAUUUCAUGGGCGCUGCAGUAAACGCGAAGACGACGCCGACUGCGCUGGGGGGCCGUAGGGAGGGAGGCUGCGGACCAGAGCGGGGAGGAGUUUGCGAGAGGAGGCGCUUGGGAGGACUCCCCCAGUUCUGUUAAGAGCUGGGCACAAAGAGCCCUUUGCACUCCAGCCGCAGGAGCGAGGAGGAGCCGAGCUAGAUGCACAUGGGCGUGGGGACUCCGGUACAACACCAACCCACAAGACCUGGGGCGUCCAGCGCAGCCUCAAACCCAGGGCAUCUCUGCACUCUCAUCGCGACGUCGCUCUGGAUGCUGUUUGCAUAUCCUUGGGGAGCCACUACUUUGGCACAACAGUCCUGCGAGGUGCUGGAAUUCCGUCUGUUCUCAUCACACGGACAUGGCUGAUCUGUCUCAGUGGUGGAAGAGUGGAGAGAUUUGGGAAAGGUCACGACUAGCCUGCAAAGCAGCCUUGCAGAUAAGUAUCAUUUCACCAGCCCGCCUGCUCUCUGCUGGUGCGUGUGAGAAAGGGUCAGCUCUGGAAUCCCCAAUGGGAGGGAGGAUGGCCGUCCUGUGACUCUGGCUCUUGAAGAUGUCAUUUGUAAGCUUGAAC
ensembl:lincRNA Miat myocardial infarction associated transcript (non-protein coding)